UGCAGACUACGCCGUUCUCUUCUCCCUUCUCUACUCGAAUGCCUAUAGCUGGAGCAAAGAUGGAUUCAAAGAUUCAUAAAUAAUGUGCAUACAUUCAGAAAUUUCAAUUCACGGUUCAAUUUUUAGGGUGAUUUGGCUCAGUUCGUGGUACGCGAAGGAGAACUCAAGCCAGUACGAGGCAAGAGCAACGGUUUGGUGUGGGCUUUGAAGAUGAAGUUAUGUUGGCCAAGAGCAGAGAUGAUGCCUGAAGCUGCUAUGAUCGAUUGACAAAAAAAUUGAAAUUGUUAGCUUCUUUUCUGUCUGACUCGAGUUUUGCAUAGGCAUAGCUGUGUGUACUGAAGCAAACUGCAGUUAUUUUGUGAUGAUGUAAUAGAAUGUGUACUGUGGUGUGCCAGUAUAAAUUCAAUGAUUCAGAAAUAA